rnacentral:misc_RNA from 1 species
UUUCCGUAGGUGAACCUGCGGAAGGAUCAUUAUAAAUGAAAAACGAAUAACUUCAGGGAAGAAGGGAACCUGCACGGUGACCUCCCCUGUCGGGCCACCCAAUACCUUCAAAAUGCCGCCGUCCUAGCGGUGGCAGACGAAAAAAAAACAAGUCAAACAAAAUAGAAACAGGCACGGUGGCCCGUUCACCUUCACACAACCCUCCGAGUACCGCUUCCAUGUUGCUUCCCCGCAAAUCCACCUCUUUGGUGAGCGCGGGGGAGGUCCGCAUCAAAUUCACCUGAAUGUCACAGCAGUCAGACAGCCAUUCAUGGAAACAAUAAAACUUUCAACAACGGAUCUCUUGGUUCCC